UCCUCUGUAGUUCAAUGGUAGAACAAUGGACUGUUAAUCCGUAUGUUACUGGUUCGAAUCCAGUCGGGGGAG
rnacentral:tRNA from 2 species